GCUACCUACGGGACGCAGCAGUGGGGGAUAUUGCACAAUGGGGGCAACCCUGAUGCAGCGACGCCGCGUGAGCGAUGGAGUACUUCGGUAUGUAAAGCUCUGUCAGCAGGGAAGAGAAUGACGGUACCUGACCAAGAAGCCCCGGCUAAAUACGUGCCAGCAGCCGCGGUAAUACGUAGGGGGCAAGCGUUAUCCGGAUUUACUGGGUGUAAAGGGAGCGUAGACGGCAUAGCAAGUCUGAAGUGAAAGCCCGUGGCUCAACCGCGGAACUGCUUUGGAAACUGUUAAGCUGGAGUACUGGAGAG
rnacentral:rRNA from 1 species